GUCUCUGGCCAUACCACCCUGAAUGCGCCCAAUCUCGUCUGAUCUUGGAAGCUAAGCAGGGUCGGGCCUGGUUGUACUUGGAUAGGAGGAAAAAAUAGCUAAGUCU
rnacentral:rRNA from 1 species